UGUUCUUAUUUGAACUUUUUCAGAGAGAAUUCAAGAGAUUAGCAUGAGUACAUCAGAGAUGCCCUGACAGUUGACAGAGUGUUUUUGCUGUGGUUGUGUGUUUGGUAUUCAAAUAGAUCCCUUUUUGAUGAGUAAGAGAGAGCCCCACCCCUUUAAGAACAGGGCUAAACUCCUAUGUGCAUAUACUUAGUUGAGCAGGUUGCAAAGCAGCAAGUCGAUCUCCAACUUGCUCCCACUAAUAGCUGGAAUACUACAGACAAAUUGUAAACACACUACUUUCACAGCAGGGGUGUGCUAUUGCUGCUUUUACUUGCCAUAGGAGUUGGCACAAGUCACACACACACACACAGACACACACACACACAUAUACACCCACGCACGCACGCACACCCACGCACGCACACACACAGACAAACAGUUUCUUCUGCAGGUUUGAACUGCGAUCAAGAUGGGCAAUGAGCAUUCCAAAAACAAGGCUGAGCAGGCUCCAGAAAAGCCCCUGCAUGGAGGUUUGAAUGGCCAUGCUGUAAGCAUCUCAUCCAAUGGCCUGGAGAAUGUUACCAGUGAAGCAGCUGUGGAGCAGAACAGUAUGCCUACCUCACUGCCUCCCUCUGAAGAGUCAGGUAUAGUGGAGGCAGAUGGCAGUGGUCUUGGGCCUGUGGUGGUGGAACAGAAGUCUGCCGUCAAGAAGGUUCCAGAAGUGGAACCAGAGACACAGAAUGCUAAGACUCAAAACACAGCGGAACCGGAACUGGAACCAGCCACCCAAGAGAAGGAGGAGCCCAAGAACAGUACACAAGAAAAAGUGAACAUCUUUGAAAAUCUGUUCAAGAAGAAAGCUAAGCCUCAACCCACCCCCAACCCGGAUCCAGCCCUGGAAAAGGAGGAGCCCAUAAGGGAGAAGAUUGUGGAGGAGAUUGAAAGUUCUGCGGAAGAUCAGAAAGUCCCUGUGGCUGUGACCGAUGGGAUCCAAGCUACGCCAUUAAAAUCACCACUGAAACCACUGUAGAGCAGCCAGAAACCACUGAAGCUCACGCAGAAACCACUGAAGAGCAACCUACAGACAAGAGUGUCAGCCCACCUGAAGAAGAGCCUAUGGAGGAUAGUGUCAGCCCACCUGAAAAGGAGACAACAGGACUGGCCAUUGGUGAAGAAGUCACAGAGGAUAAAACUUUAGAGGAGAUGUUACGAUCGUUGUUGGAAGGAUUGGACCAAGGUGCAGUGUGGAGCCACUUGCUGAGGUAAAGGAGGAUACAGAGACUUCAAAGGAGCGUCCCAACCCUAGUCCAGAGGCAGAGGAGGUCAAAAGCCCCAAAAUUGCAGAGGAAAGCAGUCACAUUCAGGAAAACCAAGAGGGAGAGAGUCAAACAGAAGAUAAUCCAGUUAUGAACUUCUUCAAAACACUAGUGACUCCCAUAAAAAAAAACAAGCAAGAAACAGCCACCCCUGAUGUUGCAAAAGACCAGAAAGAGGCCCAACCAACAACAACUACUGCUGCACAACUAGUGGAUGCAACAGCCAAAGGAGGAAUGUUAAUCCCACCAGCUGCAGCCCCAGCCCCAGCCCCGGCCCCAGCCCCGGCCGCAGCCCCGGCCGCAGCCCCUGCCCCACCCGCAGCCGCAGCCCCAGCCCCAGCCCCACCUAAGAUGGAGGUUAAAGCAGAACUAGCUGCCCAACCUGUGACCAACGCACCAAAAGAAGAACCAAAGGGUGCUGCCAAAGAAGCAGAGGCCGCCAAGCCGAAAUCUGACCGCCCGUUCAGCAGACUUUUCAGCAGAAAGGCACUGAUAGGCCUCAAGUCUAAAAUCAAGGUUAAGUCAACAAGUGGAGCCAGAGCCCCUGCCAAGCCUGCUGCAGCGACUGUGGAACCAGUGGAGCCACAGCCGGUUGUGGAAGUACAGAAUGUAGACUUCUCAAAGACGGCCACUCUGGAGGCCUCUGCCACUCUAGAACCACCACCACCUGCACCAGAGGACGAGAAGACACCUGCUGCCUCCAAAGCCUCUCCUUUCACUUCCUUUUCUCUUUUCAAGACCAUGGCAGCUGUGCCGAAAAAGGAAGUCCCUGCCCCAGCUGCAGAAGCGGUAGCUGGCCCAAGUGUAGCCAAGGAUGAACCAAAGGCCCCAGAGGACCCUGCUGUGGACAGCAAGCCCGUGUCAGGGCCCUCCGAGGUUAUGGAGAAUUCCCCCGUCCUCCCUAAGAGACUGGAGAAGAGGAACUCCAUCCACUUGUUCUUCAAAAACCUGGGCAAACGCCAGUCAGAUGCAGGAGUACAAACAGAACCAGAGAAGACCAAAUAAAACGGAAACACCCUUUCAAACUUCACAUGCCAUAUCUGGAAAUGAACUUUUCAUUUGUUAGAUACAUUAUGUUUCUGAUCACACUAUUGAAGGGAUGAUGGUAAGAGCAAGUGGUUUGAGGGAGAGGGGUGGACUGUGGACUGGUCUGUUCUAGUCUAAUCUAAUCUGUGUGGAUGAUUUCAGAGAAUUGUUCUUUGUGGAGGAGGUAAAAUAUAUUUUCUGGUUUAAAGGCUUGAUAGGUAGAGAAAAGUGGUUUUGUUACAUGUACUGAGAGCAAAAUCCAUUUCUAUACAGUAUUUACCCUUCUUUUAACAUGUCACUUAUUCCACGGAGGGCUGAGUGUCUGCGGGUUUUUGCUCCUCCCUUGAUUGAUUAAUUAAGGUCACUAAUUAGUAAAGAACUCCCCUCACCUGGUUGUCUAAGUCUAAAAACAAAACACCCACAGACACUAAGCCCUUCAUGGAAUGUGUUUGACACCACUGCUUUAACAUAUUAAUAUGUGUAAGGAUCUAAUGCAAAUAUUACGUUUAGCAUAUUUUUUUCCCCUCUUCAUAUACACAUUUUACUAGUCUGAAAAGAACUUGUGGAGUGCAUACAAUGGUUUCAGAUACGUUCAUAGGACGUCUUGGAGAAGAGAUGCAUAAAGCUUAGCUUGAGAUAGAAAUUGAAUAUACUCAAAAUUUAAUGGAGGAGUUGGCGAAAUGGUUGAUAUUCCUGCCAAGAUGUUUUUAUUUAGGCUAGACACAUGCAAUUUACAAUGUAAGCUUUAAACUUUGCAGGAACUGUACACGGAUGCAAAUAUAUGCCAAACACUAAAUUACAAUUUAUGAUUAUAAUCAUACACAGGGGGCGCUCCCAAUCAUUACUUUUUUGGGGAACUACACAGAUCUGGUUGUCUAUAUAGCUAACUGCACAGUCAUGCAUCAUAUUUGAUUAAUGUUUCACUGAAGUAUAAAGGUUUGUUCUAAUUUGGGUGCACUGCUUUACGUGUGUGCCUGUUUGAAUGCAGAUGUUAUAAUCUUGGGGAUCUUGUCUGUUAAUUUCUGCAUCUAUAAUUUGAUAAACUGCAUCUGGAAGUAGAAUGUUUAUUGUGACAGCAAAUUCCAAAUCAUGAAAACCUGCAAUGGGGUAUUGGGGGGGGGGGGGAGUUCUACUGAGCUAACAUAUGGAAUUUUUUUAAGAUCAUACCAUGGAUCCUUUAGCUAUUUAAUUUUUCAUUUAGGUAAAAUAUUGAAUUUGGCUUUUAAUGCUAUAGCCUAUAGAAAUGCAAUGAAUAACACAUUCAUAAAUGGCAAAACGGAGAGUACAAAAAGAAAUAAUAUAUAACGUUUUUGAAGUGUCUGUCCUACAUCUAGGAGAUGUAAUAAUGUUCAGGAUUUACACAUAUUUAACCCAUUUUUUGGGGGUGUCACAAAACUACUUCUAUAUAUUUUUUAUUAUGUUAAUUAAAUUGACGCACGGGUGCGUUGAUGGACUUUAGGGGGUAUUUAAAGCUAUUUUCCUGUAACUGUUUAAAGAGAAUAAAUGUGUACAAUUAUUUGUUUUCUUGUUUUCUAUCUCACAAUUUAGGCCAAAAGUUAUCAGUAUAGGGAAAUAUGAAAACAUAUUUAGAGUGAAAUUAAAUGUCCCUGUAAUAUAGUGAUUUAAUGUUAUCAAACAGUACUAUCAAGUGCUGCAAUAACUGAAAAAGACAUGACCCAACAAGUUUAUCAACACAUCUUGUAUUCCCAAAGUAGGGAGCCAAGCUGUUUUCAGCUAUGUUAGAAGUAUGGAG
rnacentral:lncRNA from 1 species